rnacentral:rRNA from 1 species
CCUACGGGAGGCAGCAGUGAGGAAUAUUGGUCAAUGGGCGUAAGCCUGAACCAGCCAAGUCGCGUGAGGGAUGAAGGUUCUAUGGAUCGUAAACCUCUUUUAUAAGGGAAUAAAGUGCGGGACGUGUCCCGUUUUGUAUGUACCUUAUGAAUAAUGAUCGGCUAACUCCGUGCCAGCAGCCGCGGUAAUACGGAGGAUCCGAGCGUUAUCCGGAUUUAUUGGGUUUAAAGGGUGCGUAGGCGGCCGUUUAAGUCAGCGGUGAAAGUCUGUGGCUCAACCAUAGAAGUGCCGUUGAAACUGGGUGGCUUGAGUAUGUUUGAGGCAGGCGGAAUGCGUGGUGUAGCGGUGAAAUGCGUAGAUAUCAGGAGGAACACCGAUGGCGAAGGCAGCCUGCUGGACUUCAACUGACGUUGAGGCCCGAAAGCGUGGGGAGCAAACAGGAUUAGAUACCCGGGUAGUC